rnacentral:rRNA from 1 species
UGGCUCAGGACGAACGCUGGCGGCGUGCCUAAUACAUGCAAGUCGAGCGGACAGAUGGGAGCUUGCUCCCUGAUGUUAGCGGCGGACGGGUGAGUAACACGUGGGUAACCUGCCUGUAAGACUGGGAUAACUCCGGGAAACCGGGGCUAAUACCGGAUGGUUGUUUGAACCGCAUGGUUCAAACAUAAAAGGUGGCUUCGGCUACCACUUACAGAUGGACCCGCGGCGCAUUAGCUAGUUGGUGAGGUAACGGCUCACCAAGGCGACGAUGCGUAGCCGACCUGAGAGGGUGAUCGGCCACACUGGGACUGAGACACGGCCCAGACUCCUACGGGAGGCAGCAGUAGGGAAUCUUCCGCAAUGGACGAAAGUCUGACGGAGCAACGCCGCGUGAGUGAUGAAGGUUUUCGGAUCGUAAAGCUCUGUUGUUAGGGAAGAACAAGUACCGUUCGAAUAGGGCGGUACCUUGACGGUACCUAACCAGAAAGCCACGGCUAACUACGUGCCAGCAGCCGCGGUAAUACGUAGGUGGCAAGCGUUGUCCGGAAUUAUUGGGCGUAAAGGGCUCGCAGGCGGUUUCUUAAGUCUGAUGUGAAAGCCCCCGGCUCAACCGGGGAGGGUCAUUGGAAACUGGGGAACUUGAGUGCAGAAGAGGAGAGUGGAAUUCCACGUGUAGCGGUGAAAUGCGUAGAGAUGUGGAGGAACACCAGUGGCGAAGGCGACUCUCUGGUCUGUAACUGACGCUGAGGAGCGAAAGCGUGGGGAGCGAACAGGAUUAGAUACCCUGGUAGUCCACGCCGUAAACGAUGAGUGCUAAGUGUUAGGGGGUUUCCGCCCCUUAGUGCUGCAGCUAACGCAUUAAGCACUCCGCCUGGGGAGUACGGUCGCAAGACUGAAACUCAAAGGAAUUGACGGGGGCCCGCACAAGCGGUGGAGCAUGUGGUUUAAUUCGAAGCAACGCGAAGAACCUUACCAGGUCUUGACAUCCUCUGACAAUCCUAGAGAUAGGACGUCCCCUUCGGGGGCAGAGUGACAGGUGGUGCAUGGUUGUCGUCAGCUCGUGUCGUGAGAUGUUGGGUUAAGUCCCGCAACGAGCGCAACCCUUGAUCUUAGUUGCCAGCAUUCAGUUGGGCACUCUAAGGUGACUGCCGGUGACAAACCGGAGGAAGGUGGGGAUGACGUCAAAUCAUCAUGCCCCUUAUGACCUGGGCUACACACGUGCUACAAUGGACAGAACAAAGGGCAGCGAAACCGCGAGGUUAAGCCAAUCCCACAAAUCUGUUCUCAGUUCGGAUCGCAGUCUGCAACUCGACUGCGUGAAGCUGGAAUCGCUAGUAAUCGCGGAUCAGCAUGCGCGGGGGAAAA